rnacentral:lncRNA from 1 species
UUAUAUAAUCUGAACUAUGCCACAUCCCAAAAUGUACAAAUUAUUACACGGUCUUGGCAUGUUUCAAAUCAUAUAACUGGAACCAGUCAAAAUACUGUUUUUGGGGUGAUAUAAUUCGAAACAAGCCCAAAACUUGGACGAUGUCGUUGCAGAUAAGGUUUUGUUGUAUUUGUAGGGAUAACACAAUGGUCAACAAAGACUUUCGCGUCAUCUUUCGGGGUCAGUUAAGGUCAUAGUAAACCUUAAAGGCCGUGAAAAAGAAUUCAGGAAUAAUGCUAUUGAGCUUAUUAGACGUUUUCAGAACGAUGUUGGGAAGUUUAUUUUCUCAAGUUUAUAGGUGAUAAAAAAUGAAAAUUAAAUUAAUCCACUAUUAAACAUCAAAAGCUACUGCAAAUAAAGAAUUGGAGUUUGACUGAUAAAUGAGAAGAACAAAGUCAGUGCAUAUCAUCAUACCUUCCAUCUGCACAGGCUAACCAAGCAAGCAGGAAAAGUAUAACUCAAUAUAUGACUUCAUUCAAUUAACUAUAUAAGAUACUGAUUAUUCAAAUUACUAGAUGAUGGUUCUUUGAAAUUUCACCAGAAGCAAGCUUUUUUUGUAUCACCAGAUGCACACAAACAUUUUCUUCACUAGAUGAUAAG